GGGUGCGCAGGUAUAGGUGGGGGAUAAGACACACUUAAGGGGAUAAGACAUUCAAAAACGGGGCUAAGAAACACAAAAAGGGGUAAGAAAUUCAAGAUGGGUUUAAGUGACACACAGACAAAGUUGCAUUUUGCGGCCCCCUCCCCCCACCUCCAAACAAACAAUGCAUAUUCACCUUUGUGUCUCUUAACCCCCUCUUUAAUUUCUUAUCGUUUUUUGUGUUUCUUACCUCUCUUUUGAAUGUCUUUCGCCAUUUAAUGUAUCUUAUCCCCAUUUGUGUCUUACAUCCC